CUAAAUGGUCCUGGUAUGACCCGACAUUUGAGAACGACUGGUCUGUUUUGUUCCCAUUUAGAAGAUGUCUCUGCAAGGAACUCAGAGGCCAUGAGUUCCCUCACUGAGAAGUUUCAGAGGCUGUAACGUGGAAUCCAGCAUCUUCUACCGCACAGGCAGCUGCUACAUUGGAGCCCAGGAUGUGUGGCCCAGCUACUGCCCUCCAGUUUCUUCCCAGCCACAGCUUCCUCUGUCCCUGCAUUUGUCUCCUUUCCCGCCCCAGUUCACUUGCAGUUUCAAAUUAAAAUACCUGUCAUGUUCUGUGCUCUGCCCUCUCUGGGGUUUGAGGAACUGCCCUGUGUCAGAGAAUGUUAAAAUCAGUUCCUCUGUUUAG